UACGUAGGGACCGAGCGUUGUCCGGAAUCAUUGGGCGUAAAGAGCGUGUAGGCGGCUUGCUAAGUCUUGCGUGAAAUCUCGGGGCUCAACCCCGAGCGGUCGUGGGAAACUGGCAGGCUAGAGUGCGGGAGAGGAGAAUGGAAUUCCUGGUGUAGCGGUGAAAUGCGCAGAUAUCAGGAAGAACACCCGUGGCGAAGGCGGCUCUCUGGAACGCAACUGACGCUGAGACGCGAAAGCGUGGGGAGCGAACAGG
rnacentral:rRNA from 1 species